CUCCUGCCCCCGCCAUGUCCGUAGGUCACUUCUCUAUGUCUGAGCCUCCAUUCCUGCCCUGCAAAUAUGUUCAUCGGUACCAUUUCUCUCGAUUCCAUAUAUGUGACAUUUGUUUUUCUCUUUCUGACUCACUUCACUCUGUGUAACACAGCCAACAUUUUAUAGUAACCGUCCAUGGAGCAUAACCUUUAAAACCGUGAAUCACUCUGCUGUGCACCUGAGACUCACAUGGUACAGCAACUAAACUUCAAUUAAACAAAGGAACCUACGUCGAGACUGAAAAAAACCUAACGGUCCCAGGACAUUUAAGUGCUCAGUAUAUAAUGAAACUGUGAUGGUUAAUCUUAUAUUUCAACUUGAUUGGGCUAAGGGAUGCUCCGAUAGCUGGUAAGACGUGUUUCUGCACUUGUCUGGGAGGGUGCUUCCCAAGAAGAUAAGCCUUUGGAACGGUGAACUGGGUAAAGAUCACCCUCCCAGGGGAGGUGGGUGUCCUGCAAGCUCUUGAGGCUCGGAUGAAACGAACAGGUGGAGGGAGGGGAAGCUGCUCUCUGCUCGAGCUGAGACCCCGCCCUCGGCCGUCUCGGACACCCGCUGCCUGGGUUGUCUGUGCCUCUCCUGGGUCUGCAUUAAUCGCCUGCUUUCCUGGUUCUCCAGCUUGCAGAUGGCAAAUGAGGGACUUCACAGCCUCUGAGAAUCCGUGGGAGCUGAUUCCUGUAAUUGCUCUUUAAUCGCUAACUUGUGGUUCUUUUGUGACCCCGUGGACUGGAGCUCGCCAGGCUCCUCUGCCCACGGCAUUCUCCAGGUUUAGAAGCUCUUCACGUGCUCGAGAUGCCAGCCCUUGGUCAGCAGGUGAUGCGGGUUGCGUAGCGAUGCCGGGAAGAACUCACACGCCUCAGUGAAGCCCGCAGACUGGUGCUGACGCCAGCCAGCGAGAAGUGAGUGCUGAGCGCAGCUGGGCGCCUGAAGCCCACUGAGGAGCCCAAGAUGGGUCCCUGUCCAAGCACAGGGGGACACUGUCGCCCAGGCCACACCAAGGGGU
ensembl:lncRNA